CAGUCGAACGAAGCUGUUUUAACUGGUGCUUGCACCGACUUAAACAACUGAGUGGCGAACGGGUGAGUAACACGUGGGUAACCUGCCCCAAAGCGGGGGAUAACAUUUGGAAACAGAUGCUAAUACCGCAUAACCACAGAAACCACAUGGUUUCUGUGUCAAAGAUGGUUUCGGCUAUCACUUUGGGAUGGACCCGCGGCGUAUUAGCUAGUUGGUAAGGUAAUGGCUUACCAAGGCAAUGAUACGUAGCCGAACUGAGAGGUUGAUCGGCCACAUUGGGACUGAGACACGGCCCAAACUCCUACGGGAGGCAGCAGUAGGGAAUCUUCCACAAUGGACGAAAGUCUGAUGGAGCAACGCCGCGUGAGUGAAGAAGGUUUUCGGAUCGUAAAACUCUGUUGUCAGAGAAGAACGUGUGCGAGAGUAACUGCUCGUGCAGUGACGGUAUCUGGCCAGAAAGCCACGGCUAACUACGUGCCAGCAGCCGCGGUAAUACGUAGGUGGCAAGCGUUGUCCGGAUUUAUUGGGCGUAAAGGGAACGCAGGCGGUCUUUUAAGUCUGAUGUGAAAGCCUUCGGCUUAACCGAAGUCGUGCAUUGGAAACUGGGAGACUUGAGUGCAGAA
rnacentral:rRNA from 2 species